GGGGGGUUGGAACUACAUGAUCCUUGAGGUCCCUUCCAACCCGGGUCAUUCUGUGAUUCUGUGAACAGCACUAACCCACACCUGAAGGGUGGAGGCAGGCAGAUGGGGCCAGACCCACCUGGACACUGUGGUCGGGCUGGGAGAGAUCCAGAGGCCCCUUCCACUGCCACGGUGUGGGAUUCUGGUGCCUCGAGUGGUACCUGUGCAGUUCUGGGCCCCUCUGUGCAGAAAAGACAGGGAGGCCAUGGAGUGUGUGUCCAGAGACAGACAACAGAGCUGGGCAGAGUCUGGAGCGCAGUCCUGUUGGGAAUGACUGAGGGAACAGGCAUGGUUCAGUCUGAAGGAAGCUUUGAGGAGGCCUCAUAGCUCCCUAUGGCUCCUGAAAGGAGGUUGGAGUGAGGAGAGGUCAGCGUCAGUCUCUGGAGAUUGUGCUUGGGCUUUGCAGUGCAGGACAGGCAGGCUUGGUUUUCUCUACUGAGCAUUUCCAUCUCGAAAGUUAUCCAAUUCUGGAGACACUUUGUGCAUCUUCUGUCUGAUUCCCCCUGUUGAUUAGCCCCUUGUUCUGUGAUAGCCAGGGACAGCCCUGGCGGAGCACCUGCUGCAGUCUGUAAGGGCUCCAUUUCUCAUCCCGUUUGCCACAUGCUGGGCUUCCAUGGACACAGCUGGCUGCCACAGCUGCCCAGUGUUGUUUUGCAGUGAGGGGACGCACAGCAGUGAUACACCACGGUCCUCUCCUUUCCAAACCUCCUGGCUGAGUCCUUGGCUGCUCUGUACAUUGCAGUGUACUGAUGUCAUGGUUCCACCAGCGCUCGGGAUCUCCUUUUUCAUGCUAGAACAAAGCACGAGCAGACCUAUGGCUGUGUCCAAACCACCUCCCCACAGGGCUGUCUGUGCCGAGCCCAUAUCCUCAAGCAGCUGAUGCCAUGGAUGCGGAAUCCUGCUGACUGCAAGUCUCUGCUUUCUAGGCAUCAGCCUCCAGCCAUGCUUCUUGGCUGCCUCCCACAAACUGCUUUUAUUGCCGUUCCUCGUGCUCACUGCUUAGCCAAUGUGCUUUACGGGCAGCAAGAGACGUGCUAUCGGGCACAGAAAAACAACCUGCCGUGGGCAUGAGCAAUAGGCACAGCUCCCCCCAGCCCUGUUUCUGGGUUGUGCUCUGCCAUCCUGUUGGCAGCUAAAUGUCAGCAGCGGGUCCUUUCUGAGGGGCCGUGGGAACCCAAUCCCUCCCCGUGGGUCAGAUGUAACCGCGGGAGCUAAAUUGGAAGCUGCAAUAGGAAAAUGUCUUCGUGUGGGGAGAGAGGCAGGAAUAGCAGAGAAGCUGAAAGGAAGUGACAGAGGCAGAAGCAGAACCUCUGCUGAGGCUUCUUGGAGCAGGAUGCAUGGUAGGUCCCACUGCUGGGAGAUAAAAACACUGAGUCACAGUUAUGGUUGAACAUAGAGCAGUGCUCCUGGCAUUGGCUGUGGGUGUCAGGUCGCACUCAGAAGUACAAGUGUAUUUCCUCUUACCAUACCUGCCAUUUACCACCUGAACCGGGGCUGUGCUGCUCUACUGCUAGUGUUUAAAUGUUUCUCCCCUUGCACCCAGCAGAUAAAAGCUCUGCUGUGUUUGUGUAUCUCUGUGUGUGUGUCUGAGAAGAGAAAGAGGCUCAUUUUUUUCUGUUAAAACGGAAGUAAUGUGGCAUCGUCGUAAUUAUGUCUUAUUGUUUGCUGUUAUGUAAAGAUAACAAAUCAGGGCUGAGUCACGGGAGCAAAUGCAAAAGUUGCAUUUUGAAAAGCAGAAGGUCACAGGCCACAUGUUUUGUUGCAGAACAAACACAUUAAUUAAUUGGCCUCUCCCUGCAAUGGCAGAACAGGCAUCUCAACUACAGGAGAACCGGGAAAUGGCAAACAGCAGCGUGCAGGAGGAGCGCUGGUAUUAUUGUGGGGCUUACAGUGAGCUCUAAUAAGAAAUAAAAAUGUCAUUGGGAGAGAGAGAAGGAAGGCAAUAUCUUUGGAAUUGCUGCCUCGAUAAUGGGGAUUACACGCAGAGUAUGGAACAGAGGGAGCUGGUUGGAAUCUGUGCUAUUUGUUUUAUUUCUCUGAGACAGCGAUAGACCAGAACCAGCCCAUUGAAUGCACACAUGUGCCUUUUGUGCUGACAUUUUCUCCUCUGCGUUGAUCCUAGAAUCCUAGAAAACCCAUCCAAGGGCACGUGCAAUCACUUUCAAAGCCUUACCCUGAUAUUCCUGUCAUCAAUGAAGAAAUGCAGUUGAUAGUUGGGGCUCAUCGCCGUGUGAAUCCUGGCUGGGACAGACAUUUUUAGGGCGUCCACAGAAUUGUAUGGGAUUUGUGUAGUUCACUAGCAAUAGAAAUCAAUAGUUAUACUGGAAAAAAUAAGUUAUUUUAAAUAUCCACAUAUAUCUUGUCUAUUUGGGUUUGGUGACCUUUCGUAAUGCAGCACUGCUGAGCUGAAAACAAAGGGAGGAAAAUCCAGGAGUUCCCCUUUCUCUGGUAUUUGAAGCACAGAAACAUGACUGGAUGUAAAUGACUUCUGCUUGUGUCUGAAGCUCGUAGGCUGGAUAUCAUGGCUCAGCUGCUUUUCUGCGCUGCUUCUGACCACGCUGCCAUCCUCCAGCUUCCCCACAAUUUAAGGCUGUACCUUUUUAUCUACAGCCAUAUUUUCCCCGCAGAUUUUAAUAAUUAAUUGGGACAAGCCUGGUGGGUCUGGAGAUGAGCACAAAAGAGGCAGCAGAUCCGUGUGACCAAGUGACCUUUUGCUGUCCUGCCAGUCCCUGCGCUCUCCUGUGCUCAAAGGGACACUGUCAAAAUUGCUAGCCCUUAAAGCUGUAACUUGCUCUGACAACUUGUUCUACAUUAUAAGUCUUACCUAAAAGAUUACCACAAUUGUUUUGUUUGUUUUCUUUCAACAGUCUUUGCUGAAGGCUCCAUAAUGUGGAUUCGUUUUUAGGUAGGUAGGUAUUUUAAGCACCCAGCUUCCUCUCUGGCCUGUUAAAAUCAAGCUGGUGUGUGUGUUACUGUGCACUGUGGAAGCAGAGGUGAUGGAAUACUUUGGAAGCCUUUAUUGAACUGGUUUUUAGAAGCCAUUUUGAAAGGCCUGCAGUUAUUUGUCAUUGUUUUGGGACAGCAGUAAACAUUGUCUGGAUUUUCCUGGCAGUACAUAGAA